AUACGGAGGAUCCGAGCGUUAUCCGGAUUUAUUGGGUUUAAAGGGCGCGCAGGCGGCCAUUUAAGUCAGCGGUUAAAUCGUGGGGCUCAACCCCAUUCUGCCGUUGAUACUGGGUGGCUUGAUUGCGGUCGAGGUUGGCGGAAUUCGUUGUGUAGCGGUGAAAUGCAUAGAUAUGACGAAGAACACCGAUUGCGUAGGCAGCUGACCAGACCGCAAAUGACGCUCAUGCACGAAAGUGCGGGGAUCGAACAGGAUUAGAUACCCUGGUAGUCCGCACAGUAAACGAUGAAUACUUGUUUUCGGCGAUAUAAUGUCGGAGGCAAAGCGAAAGCGAUAAGUAUUCCACCUGGGGAGUACGCCGGCAACGGUGAAACUCAAAGGAAUUGACGGGG
rnacentral:rRNA from 1 species